GAUGAACGCUAGCUACAGGCUUAACACAUGCAAGUCGAGGGGAAACGACAUCGAAAGCUUGCUUUUGAUGGGCGUCGACCGGCGCACGGGUGAGUAACGCGUAUCCCACCUGCCCAUCACUUGGUGAUAACCUUGCGAAAGUAAGACUAAUACCCAAUGAUAUCUCUAGAAGACAUCUGAAAGAGAUUAAAGAUUUAUCUGUGAUGGAUGGGGAUGCGUCGGAUUAGCUUGUUGGCGGGGUAACGGCCCACCAAGGCAACGAUCAGUAGGGGUGCUGAGAGGAAGGUCCCCCACAUGGGAACUGAGACACGGUCCAAACUCCUACGGGAGGCAGCAGUGAGGAAUAUUGGUCAAUGGGCGAGAGCCUGAACCAGCCAAGUAGCGUGCAGGAAGACGGCCCUAGGGGUGGUAAACUGCUUUUAUAAGGGAAUAAAGUGAGAGUCGUGACUCUUUUUGUAUGUACCUUAUGAAUAAGGACCGGCUAAUUCCGUG
rnacentral:rRNA from 1 species